rnacentral:rRNA from 1 species
CCAUCUGGAAGAAUCUGGAGACAGGUGCUGCAUGGCUGUCGUCAGCUCGUGUCGUGAGAUGUUGGGUUAAGUCCCGCAACGAGCGCAACCCUUGCCUUUAGUUGCCAGCAGUUCGGCUGGGCACGUCUAAAGGGACUGCCGGUGUUAAACCGGAGGAAGGUGGGGAUGACGUCAAGUCCUCAUGGCCUUUAUGACCAGGGCUACACACGUACUACAAUGGCCGAUACAAAGGGCAGCGACACUGCGAGGUGAAGCCAAUCCCGUAAAAUCGGUCUCAGUCCGGAUUGGAGUCUGCAACUCGACUCCAUGAAGUUGGAAUCGCUAGUAAUCGUGGAUCAGCAUGCCACGGUGAAUACGUUCCCGGGCCUU